rnacentral:rRNA from 1 species
AACGAACGCUGGCGGCAUGCCUAACACAUGCAAGUCGAACGAGACCUUCGGGUCUAGUGGCGCACGGGUGCGUAACGCGUGGGAACCUGCCCUUAGGUUCGGAAUAACUCCCCGAAAGGGGUGCUAAUACCGGAUAAUGUCUUCGGACCAAAGAUUUAUCGCCUUUGGAUGGGCCCGCGUUGGAUUAGCUAGUUGGUAGGGUAAAAGCCUACCAAGGCGCCGAUCCAUAGCUGGUCUGAGAGGAUGAUCAGCCACACUGGGACUGAGACACGGCUCAGACUCCUACGGGAGGCAGCAGUGGGGAAUAUUGGACAAUGGGCGAAAGCCUGAUCCAGCAAUGCCGCGUGAGUGAUGAAGGCCUUAGGGUUGUAAAGCUCUUUUACCCGGGAUGAUAAUGACAGUACCGGGAGAAUAAGCUCCGGCUAACUCCGUG